rnacentral:rRNA from 1 species
GACGAACGCUGGCGGCAUGCCUAACACAUGCAAGUCUAGGGUGUAGCAAUACACACUGGCGCACGGGUGAGUAACGCGUAGAUCAUCUGCCCCUAUCACCGACAUAACUCUUGGAACGGGAGCUAAUAUCGGAUGAGGUGAGCAAUCAUCAAAGUUUCGACGGAUAGGGAUGAGUCUGCGUCUGAUUAGGUAGUUUGGUGAGGUAAUGGCUCACCAAGCCUACGAUCAGUAGCUGGUCUGAGAGGACGAACAGCCACACUGGAACUGAGACACGGUCCAGACUCCUACGGGAGGCAGCAGUGAGGAAUAUUGGACAAUGGGAGCAAUCCUGAUCCAGCAAUGCCGCGUGUGGGAUGAC